CGCUCUGCGAAGCCGGUCACUUGGUCGCAUCGCUUGAAGCACUCGAACUGAAGGGCUGAGCAGAAUGAAUGUACAAGCUCUCUGCAAUGUGUGUCUGAACACAUUCAAUAGUACCAAUCACAAGCCUCUACUCUUGCAGUGUGGUCAUACUUAUUGCCUAGCCUGCCUUAAGGACAUCGAGGCUUCAGGCCAAAAACUAUGUCCAUCAUGCAGAGAAGAAUGGCGGGGCGAAGCAUACGAGCUACCAAUUUCCUACAUGCUGAUACCUGGUGCAAAAACGGCCCCUAAAUCUGCUGGUGAUGAUACUGAAAACAAAUUUGACUAUAACAUGUGCACCUUGCAUUCUUGUGCCAUAGAACACUGGUGCUGCAAGUGUCAAGUUGCCACCUGCAAGAAGUGCAUUUCUGAGAUGCAUUUUGCUCAUGGGCAGGUUGCUUUUGAAAAUGUUGUUGGUCAAGAAAUUGACAUAGAACAAAUAAAGCAAUCCUUUAAUGGAAACCUAGGGAACGAGUUUAAAGAAGACCUGAAAGAUUCAGUCAACCUAUGCAAUGAAGGACUUGGAUUGAUUGAGUCAAUGAAAGAGAUUGAGACUAAGCUAUUGUCAUGGAAAAAACAUCUCCUGGAUCAAGAAAAAAAUUUGUCAUCUUGCAUGGAGCAUGCAGAAAACACAAGUCUCUCAGCAUUGAAAGCAAAAUUUGAUGCUUUCUUGAAAAUAAUGACAUGAUGUGAUUUGGAAAAAGCAAGUCUUUCAUCAGAAUUGAAAUUGACUGUGAUGAAAGUUGAUGUCUUUGGUGAAGAAUUUCAGGCAUUGAGAGUGAAUGAACGUCUGGAAGCUGAGAAGCGACAACUGCUACCGGAAGAGUUCCAGGCAUUCGCAAAAGAUAUUGUCAUUAAAGGAGAAAGUAUGAGCAAGAAAAUUGUGCAAGCACAGCCACCCAUUCCAACUGGUGAAAAGGCCACAGUUACAGUGGUAUCCUCUGUGGAAGACCCCAUCACUAGGCUGCAGGAUCUUCUCUUAUACUUGAUGAAUGGUCGCACAGUAAUACACCUCCAGUUGUUGGAUACUUUUUUCAAUGGCAACAGCAGCAGUGCAGAUGAUUCCAUCAGACUGAAACUUUUCUUGCACAGGAACUUUGGGGCGCACCUAGCAUCGUUCUACGGUCACCUCACGCACGCCGCUUGGGCCAAGUUUGGUGUUGUUGGACUGCCGAAGCUUGGGCUGCACCUGCAGUCUGGAGCUGACGUGGCUGAUGUCAACAAGAUCUUGCAUGACAACUGCAGUGCUGAGAACGUUAAGCCCGCUCCCGGCGAACACUCGAGUAGCGAUGGAGCCUCUACUCUGGUGACCGGAGAGCCGUUCAUAGCAGAUAUUGCCAUCAACAAAAGCAUCAAUGUGAAGGAUAUCGUGAGGAGCCUGGAGCAGAAGACUAACAGGCUGUACCGACUUCACUUGGUGAAACUGGAAGAUAGAGACUGGAAGAGGUGCAGCAGAGUGGUCAGACGUUUGCUCCAAAACCAAAAAUUUGAUGGAGGCGCGUGGAACCCCGAACUUUGGAUCCACGAUUGCAGUGGCUUGUCAGCGGACGUCAUGGCGCAAGUUCGUAGGUAUUUGUGCGACUACACGACUAUUGACACACUGAGAAUGAAUAAUCAUUCAAUGGAGGAAGCCCAACAACAACAGAUGGCUGCAAAAUACCCACAAUACAUCACCAUACAUUUCAGCAUUCCAUCUUUUUAAAGUUUUCUGACAACCACUGGGAAAUCUGAAUGUUAGAAAGGACGUAAGUUUUCUACCGCUACGUUUACACUAAGAUCGUUUUUUCAUCUACUCCUAUUUUUGAUGGAGAUUUUUUGUAAAACUGAUAAAUUUAGUUAAAGCUUAAUGUUUAAUAUUUCGUUGGUAAACAAUAUUUCAUACAUGCCUACUAGCAGGAUUUCACUCUAGCAGGUGAGACUUGUAGCUGAAAUUUCGUUUUUAGCAAUCUUUAGUGUUGAUAAAUUGUCUUGUGUGGUAUCAACAUUUCGGGAUUGCGAAGCAGCAUGAAUUUUUUUAACUUGAGUUUUGGUGGAUGCGUUCACACGUCUCAAACAUUUGAUCGAAACACGCUUUUUUUACUGUCAAGCGUUCUUUUGCGAAUUAGAAUGGUAGUUUGAUCAACUGGAUGGUUUUAGUUUGUUUCUAAGUAAAGGCAUUAGCUCCUAGAAUCUUAGAAAUCAAUCGGCAAUUAUUUUUUUGUGAAUGAAAUGGAUAUUAUGGUGCCAAUAAUCAAUCGAUAUUCGGAAUUCGUGUUUCGAUUACUUAUUUUAAAAUUUGGAUUUUUGUUUUUCAUUGUUCCCUUAUUCAUGUAGUGUAAUUUUUGAUUAUAAGUACGCAUUCAGACUGCAA
rnacentral:misc_RNA from 1 species